CAAAUGAAGAGCUUCUGUAUUUUAGUAGCUCCAGCUGGAGCAGUUCAUUUGCUCUGUGGAUAGGAAUGAAUUAUGCUUUCUGGGGCUAUGCACCUGCUUUCUGGUGCAUAGAAACUCAGCCUACUGAUCAUUGGAAGACUGGAGCCAAUGUUUAUACUCCUGCUCACAAUUUUAGCAGCCUGCUUCCCACUCAAGGAUGCUAUAAGUGGACUGCCUUAAGAAAAAUGGAAGUGUCUGUUUAUGAGGGGAUGAUGAUGGUGAGGGAGGGACUGAUUUUUUUAAAAAGCCACAUAGGUAAUUAAGUGUAAUUUUCUCACAUCCAGGCAUCUGACAUGACAUUAGAGCAUUCUAUAUAGCCAAUUGGGACAAACUAAUUUGGUUAUGUUCAACAAAUGUUUUGUGGGAGCUUGG